AGACACACUCUCACCUCACUGUCAGAGGUAGGGAGACAGACACACUCUCACCUCACUGUCAGAGGUAGGGAGACAGACACACUCUCACCUCACUGUCAGAGGUAGGGAGACAGACACACUCUCACCUCACUGUCAGAGGUAGGGAGACAGACACACUCUCACCUCACUGUCAGAGGUAGGGAGACAGAC